rnacentral:tRNA from 2 species
GCUCGGCUAGCUCAGUUGGUAGAGCAUGAGGCUCUUAAUCUCAGGGUCGUGGGUUCAAGCCCCACGUUGGGCG